AGCAAAGUGAUGAGGUCUUAAUAUCUGAAUAUGAUGUGGAUUCCUAAUUUCAAAUGGUCUUCAAAAUUCUCGGAUUGCU
rfam:Glycine soja cultivar W05 scaffold1409_48, whole genome shotgun sequence.